GUGAGAUCAUGACCUGAGCUGAAGUCGGACGCUCAACCGACUGAGCCACCCAGGCGCCCCUGUUCUUGAUUUUUUAAUAUAAGUGUUGAAGAUUUGUCUCCCAAAUGACUCCAAACACCGUAAAACUUCCAUUCUGUUUUUGCGCCGUAAUUGAGUAGAUAUCUUCCUAAGAUUUUGGGAUCUCUCAACAAUUGGAGAAAAUUAGGAAGGCUGCUUUUCAAGGCCUGGGCAUCGUAGGUUUGAAAAGAAAUGUUUUGGCCCCACCGCUGCACUCACGGAAGCCAAGUGCGUCAGCACCUCACCUGUAGCUGCCGCCCUGUCUUGUGUGCAGAUCAGACCUCUUUAAUUGUAUGCUUGGGGUAAAAAUGGUCUUUUCUGAUUGCUAUUCUUGGAGGUUUGUGGAAGAUAACCAGCAUUUAGUAAGUUCUGAACAUGUGCCAGGCACUGGAGAAAAAAUUAGCGUUGCUUAGGAACCGAAGAAUUCAACUGGUUUUUGAGAGAAAACAGAAUUCCAUUCCAGCCGAUCUGUGUUCUGGGACCUUCGAAUGAAUGCAGCAGACAUGGUCAUUCUGGAAGAUACCCACACCAGGUCUCUCACAGGAGCCACACUCAAGCAGAGCAGAAAUAAAAAAGCAGCAUGACCCCUUGGAGCCUUACAGUUGUGUGACUGAGAGAGCAGAGGUGAGAGGUGUGAUCCUUGAUCGCGAUGCGCUGAACUCCUGAGACUCUGCUCUUCGGGUCACCUACAUAAUCCUGAAUGUGGUCAAUACUCAAUUACUUUCUGUGCUGUUGGCAGAAGGAAUAAAUGCCAGGAAGAAUAAAUGAAUUCCAAUGCAAUUAAAUCCUUAUGCUAACUUAAAAAAAAGAGAGAGAUCCUCAUGCCAUUUUAUUUGCUUACUAGUGCUGUCAGUAACUUGAUGAAUCUUUAAAAUUCAGAUUUUAAUAAAGAUGAUAUAUUUCUCUAGUCAAACCAUGGGUUUAUGGAAGAAAAGAGAUCCUUGUGUAGCUGAUUGUAUAUAAGGGAAAAAGCUUCAUCUUACUCUCUCCCUAAUCACUGGUACAGUCAAUUUUAUGUUUAUAUUUUAUGUACACGUGGUUAUAACAUGGGAUACAUAAGUCAUGUGAUGAAGAGCCCUUGGAUAAUGAGAGGCAUAAAGCCAUGAAAAUGCCUCAGUCAUUCAUUUGAGUAAAAGACGGGCACUUUCCAGUCUUCUCGGAGGAGAUCUAUUAACUCAGAAGUGCCCUUCACAUCGAUGAACCCAUGCCCGCUGUGCAGACGUGAUUUCUUCCUAUUCACACCGGGAGAAAGAGCAUCUAGAAAAUUAACAACAGUUGUGAAGAAGUAAACUUUGUUCACCACAGGGAAUCAAUUUUAACUACAUAAAUUUGCAAAACAAGCAACAGAAGCAAAAAUCAACGAGUGGGACCACAUCAAACUAAAAAGCUUCUGUAGAGGAAAGGAAACCAUCAGCACAAUGAUGAAGCAAGCUGCAGAGUAGGAGGGGGUAUGUGCAAGCCACAUAUCUGAUAAGGGGCUAAUAUCCACCAUAUGUAAAGAGUUUCUAUAACUCAAUGGCCAAAAAAAAUCAACAGUUGAAAUGAAAAAUGAGCAGAGGACCUAAACAGACAUUUUUUCCAAAGAAAACGUCCAGUUGGACAACAGACACAUGAAAAGAUGCUCAGCAUCACUGAUCA